CAGAUCUCGGGGCUGGCUCUCAUUUUCCCCUUAUCUUUCUGAUCUGGUGAUGGAGGUGUCCUCUCCUCGGGGAGGCCAUGGGCAGNNNNNNNNNNNNNNNNNNNNGGCGGUGCGAGCGGGUCGCGCCUGCAGCCGGGCCCGAUCGUGGCCGGGCUUUGUGUGAGGAGAGGAGCUGAUAGAGUCAGAGAAUAGUUAGGGUUGAAAAGGACCUUAAGAUCAUCCAGUUUAAACAAGUGUUUCAUUGUGCAUAAAGAUAUAGACAAGGCUACAAGAUCAGGCGUGCAACAAGAUGACCACAUGUCUUCUUUAGAAUUGGUGUGGGUCUUCCUUCUAGCAAUUAGGCCCAAGAAAUAGAAAGAAAAAAAUCCAGCUUCCAAGAUGUUUAGUGACUUGUCUAAAGGCAUGUGCAAGUGCAGCGGCAACAUCAGGCCUGUGAUCCAACCUUAUUCCAGAGCAGGAGCUCCCAAACAGACUGUCAAGGGUUUCCAUCCAGAAAGGACAGAAAUGGAUCCCAGCUGCAGUGUGACAGUAGCAGAAACUUCGUGCCAGUUUGCAGCAGCAGGUUUAGAGAUCUCCAUCCUGAAACCGAGAAUGAUGGAUCAUGAAGAGUCAUGUUUCUUCCUCUGGGGAGUCAGGACUUCCACUAAUGAAUAAAAUACUUUGCUUUAAAAAAAAAUUCCUGGACCAAUUUCCAUUAUUCCCCUUUAACUUUCAUGUGAUGCAGUUGUUUGCCUCAAGGACAGCAAACUGACCCAUUUAAGAAAGAUGUUAUUCCAAAAUUCCUGGAUGAACAUGGACUACAUUCCUUCUGGUACACCAGCUUCAGAGUGCAGGAUGUUACUUCAGAUAGGAGACUUGAGCAGCAGUCUUCAAGCUCAGUAACAGAGCACUGGAACAGACUUCAUUUGCAGCACCAUCUACAAAGCCACUCUUCAGGUUCUUAUACAGGGCAUUACAACCAGAUAUUUGCCUGCACCUCUUCAAAGAACAGUGGCAGGGCAUCACUCUUCUGACAAUUACAUGCAGCUGUGUAAUUGGACAAAUAAGAAAAGGCUUGAAAGAAAGCAGUGCAAAACCUGACAGAACUCAGAGGCUGCCUUAAGGCUUUGAAAUCUGAGAGAACAGUCAUAAGUGCUUUCCUUCCAAUACCAGAAAAUUAACAUGAAGACUGGAGUCUGUCAAAGUCUAGACAUUUGAAGGAGUACAGGCAGACAGGACAUUUUCUUUGGUGGAGAAAAAUGUAUUACCUACACUGUCAGGUCUCUGCUAAUCUUACUUACAAGCUGAACUGCUGGAAAAUGGACGUCAUUAUUUCCAGAAUCUGGUUUCCAAACUCCUCAGCUACUUCCUUUGAGCCUGUAUUCUCCACAUAGGGAAGUAGGAUGAGCAGGCAUUAAGGUCCAAAUGAGCCUUUCAGGUUAUAUAUAAGGAAGUUCUUUUCUGUGAGGGUGGUGAGGCACUGGAAUGGGUUGCCCAAGUAAGUGGUAAAUGCUCCAUCCCUGGCAGUGUUCAAGGCCAGGUUGGACAGAGCCUUGAGUGACAUGGUCUAGUAUGAGGCAUCCCUGCCCAUGGCAAGGGGUUGGAACUGGAUGAUCUUAAGGUCCUUUCCAGCCCAAACCAUUCUGUGAUUCUAUGAACAAGACUGAAAGGCAGUGAAAUUCAGUGUCUUAUUCUGUCACAUCACAUCUUCCAUCCUUCAGUGACCUGCCUCCUCAGGAAUUUCUGCUAGCCGGCUGGACUGCUGCAGUCAGAGAACUGCACCUUCACCUCAGGUUUCUUGUAUUUGUAUUCUUUGUAGAACAUUUUAGUAUCUGUUGAAGUGUCAUAUAAAGCCUUUGGGGGAAUACAUAUCGUACCAUAAUCUUCCUAGCCUUUACUGCAUCAAACACAAAGGAGACAACAGAAAAAGAAAGCGGCUGUGAUGCUCUAGAAAUAACACAUUUUAUCUAGAACUCCCUUUGGCUUACCUAGAAUCCACACAGUGACCUGAAGUCUUCCAUAAUGCAGCUGUGAUUACAAGGCCUUUGAGAAAAGAACCUUCUCUGAUGAAGCACCUCUAAGAUGACAGAUGCAUGUAAGAGUACUGAAACAGAGGGAUUUACAGCAAAGUACCUUAAUUCAGGAUCAUAUGAAACAGCAUUCUCAAGAAAUGAAUGCUGCAAAACAGUCAGAAGAAUAGGCUCAAGUUCCAUUCAGAGAGGAAACUUAAGUAGCAGCAGGUAGAGGUAAGGAGAUAAUUUACAUUGCUAUCCAUGUGGUACCUGUUUUCCAGUAUAAAUUAUUUUGGCAAGUAUUUUGGUAAGUUGUAAGAAUUUGCAAUACAAAGCCUCAGCCUAGCAAGUUUCUUUUAAUUUUUAAAUGUACAGCAUUUUAGUUCUACAGAUGUAAAAAAGAAAAAAAACAAAAUGAAACAAAACCAAAGAACCCAAAACCUUUACAAUGUUGAGUCUUUUUCUGCUUAUAAUGAUCAAAACCAACCUGAUUCAAUAAAAUUUGGUAUGCAGUUAAUGUGGCCCA
rnacentral:lncRNA from 14 species